rnacentral:rRNA from 1 species
AGGAUGAACGCUGGCGGCGUGCCUAAUACAUGCAAGUCGAGCGAACAGAUAAGGAGCUUGCUCCUUUGACGUUAGCGGCGGACGGGUGAGUAACACGUGGGUAACCUACCUAUAAGACUGGAAUAACUCCGGGAAACCGGGGCUAAUGCCGGAUAAUAUUUAGAACCGCAUGGUUCUAAAGUGAAAGAUGGUUUUGCUAUCACUUAUAGAUGGACCCGCGCCGUAUUAGCUAGUUGGUGGGGUAAUGGCUUACCAAGGCAACGAUACGUAGCCGACCUGAGAGGGUGAUCGGCCACACUGGAACUGAGACACGGUCCAGACUCCUACGGGAGGCAGCAGUAGGGAAUCUUCCGCAAUGGGCGAAAGCCUGACGGAGCAACGCCGCGUGAGUGAUGAAGGUCUUCGGAUCGUAAAACUCUGUUAUUAGGGAAGAACAAAUGUGUAAGUAACUGUGCACGUCUUGACGGUACCUAAUCAGAAAGCCACGGCUAACUACGUGCCAGCAGCCGCGGUAAU